CCUACGGGGUGCAGCAGUGAGGAAUAUUGGUCAAUGGACGAGAGUCUGAACCAGUCAAGUAGCGUGAAGGAUGACUGCCCUAUGGGUUGUAAACUUCUUUUAUAUGGGAAUAAAAUGUUCCACGUGUGGGAUUUUGUAUGUACCAUAUGAAUAAGGAUCGGCUAACUCCGUGCCAGCAGCCGCGGUAAUACGGAGGAUCCGAGCGUUAUCCGGAUUUAUUGGGUUUAAAGGGAGCGUAGGUGGAUUGUUAAGUCAGUUGUGAAAGUUUGCGGCUCAACCGUAAAAUUGCAGUUGAAACUGGCAGUCUUGAGUACAGUAGAGGUGGGCGGAAUUCGUGGUGUAGCGGUGAAAUGCUUAGAUAUCACGAAGAACUCCGAUUGCGAAGGCAGUUCACUGGACUGCAACUGACACUGAGGCUCGAAAGUGUGGGUAUCAAACAGGAUUAGAUACCCGGGUAGUC
rnacentral:rRNA from 1 species